UGUAGCGGCACUUUAAAUCAAUAUGUCACAGAUAAUUAUGUCAAGAUUAUGAGGCGUGCAAGGGAAUGAAGAUGUUUGUCCUGCCAGUGUGCGGCAAAAUAGGGGAAAUCUCGAAAGCAACUGGGAAGAUGAGAAAACAUACCUUUUAUCACCGGCCUCGGGCCUCAUGCCUACACACCCCAAUAGGUUAAGGAAUCUUUUAUAACGAAAUACCUUGGACUGGAGAGAAACUAGAAGAGUGAGAGUUCCAGGAAGCAAUAGCCUAUAGAGAAAAUGCAAAGGGAAAAUGGUCCAGGGAGCCUGGAGUAUAGCGUUCUUGGAGAAAUCCAGGAGAAAAGGAAGUGGAAGACAUGUCUAGAAAAGAUCCAGAUGUACAACUCUCAACUCCUUCUCCAGUGUCA